GUUAUCUUUUUCCUGUGUAAGUCUACGUCAGUUACAUAGAUGAAUCCAGCAACAUUACUGGAAAUUAUUUGAUCUUGUUCUUUGGCAUAUGAAACAGCAAGAACCAAAUGGAGCAAGUCUCGACUGAUACUAACAGGAACCAAUCUUGUAGGAUCUGCAGCAGGCUCUGCACCAAUAGGUAAAGCUGAGCGUGGAGCUUGUGGUCCACCCCCUAUUCGGUAGAUGAACAAGUCACUGAAGUUCACCACAUUAGAAUGUGGUGAAAGAUCAUUCGAAGGGCCAUAAAAAUAUUCCCGUAUUCUAUAGCCCCUUGCUUUCUGCCGUACUUUAGCAUUCCUUGAUACAACACCACCAGAUUUUUGAAGUUUCACCACAUCCACAUUGGGUCGAUUCUUCAAUACAUCUUUUAGCAUGCUGCAAAGUUUUUCCUGACCCAAGACAAGAAUAACUGUGGCAUUGAAUGUAUCAAUCGCAUGGAGUAGCAACUCAUAACCAACUCCCUCUAUCCAUCCCAUUGUAUUUAUUACCAUGCCUGAAGCUCGAGAUUCAGCAUUGCCAG
rnacentral:misc_RNA from 1 species